AGUGGCGAACGGGUGAGUAAAGUAUCGGAACGUGCCCAGUCGUGGGGGAUAACGUAGCGAAAGUUACGCUAAUACCGCAUACGAUCUAUGGAUGAAAGCGGGGGAUCGCAAGACCUCGCGCGAUUGGAGCGGCCGAUAUCAGAUUAGGUAGUUGGUGGGGUAAAGGUUCACCAAGCCGACGAUCUGUAGCUGGUCUGAGAGGACGACCAGCCACACUGGGACUGAGACACGGCCCAGACUCCUACGGGAGGCAGCAGUGGGGAAUUUUGGACAAUGGGCGCAAGCCUGAUCCAGCCAUGCCGCGUGCAGGAUGAAGGCCUUCGGGUUGUAAACUGCUUUUGUACGGAACGAAAAGGUUUGGCCUAAUAAGCUGAGCUCAUGACGGUACCGUAAGAAUAAGCACCGGCUAACUACGUGCCAGCAGCCGCGGUAAUACGUAGGGUGCGAGCGUUAAUCGGAAUUACUGGGCGUAAAGCGUGCGCAGGCGGUUAUGUAAGACAGAUGUGAAAUCCCCGGGCUCAACCUGGGAACUGCAUUAGUGACUGCAUAGCUGGAGUACGGCAGAGGGGGGAUGGAAUUCCGCGUGUAGCAGUGAAAUGCGUAGAUAUGCGGAGGAACACCGAUGGCGAAGGCAAUCCCCUGGGCCUGUACUGACGCUCAUGCACGAAAGCGUGG
rnacentral:rRNA from 1 species